rnacentral:rRNA from 1 species
GGCUGCCUUAUACAUGCAAGUCGUGCGGGGGUCUUCGGACCCUAGCGGCGAACGGGUGAGUAACACGUGGGCAACCUGCCCGUAAGACUGGGAUAACUCCGGGAAACCGGUGCUAAUACCAGAUAAUCUCUUUCUCCGCAUGGAGAAAGAGUAAAAGGCUUCGGCCACUUACGGAUGGGCCCGCGGCGCAUUAGCUGGUUGGUGAGGUAACGGCUCACCAAGGCGACGAUGCGUAGCCGACCUGAGAGGGUGAUCGGCCACACUGGGACUGAGACACGGCCCAGACUCCUACGGGAGGCAGCAGUAGGGAAUUUUCCGCAAUGGGCGAAAGCCUGACGGAGCAAUGCCGCGUGAGUGAUGACGGCCUUCGGGUUGUAAAACUCUGUUCUGAAGGAAGAAGUUCUGACGGUACUUCAGGAGAAAGCCCCGGCUAACUACGUGCCAGCAGCCGCGGUAAUACGUAGGGGGCGAGCGUUAUCCGGAAUUAUUGGGCGUAAAGCGCGCGCAGGCGGUCAUUUAAGUCAGGUGUGAAAGGCUGCGGCUCAACCGCAGAGCGGCACCUGAAACUGGAUGACUUGAGUGCAGGAGAGGAGAGCGGAAUUCCCGGUGUAGCGGUGGAAUGCGUAGAGAUCGGGAGGAACACCAGUGGCGAAGGCGGCUCUCUGGCCUGUUUCUGACGCUGAGGCGCGAAAGCGUGGGGAGCAAACAGG